GUCCAGUUGACGAGUCCCAAAUCGGACGAAACACGAGUUUAGGAU
rfam:Schistosoma haematobium scaffold265_3, whole genome shotgun sequence.